rnacentral:rRNA from 1 species
GGGUGAGUAAUGCCUAGGAAUCUGCCUAGUAGUGGGGGAUAACGUCCGGAAACGGGCGCUAAUACCGCAUACGUCCUACGGGAGAAAGUGGGGGAUCUUCGGACCUCACGCUAUUAGAUGAGCCUAGGUCGGAUUAGCUAGUUGGUGAGGUAAUGGCUCACCAAGGCGACGAUCCGUAACUGGUCUGAGAGGAUGAUCAGUCACACUGGAACUGAGACACGGUCCAGACUCCUACGGGAGGCAGCAGUGGGGAAUAUUGGACAAUGGGCGAAAGCCUGAUCCAGCCAUGCCGCGUGUGUGAAGAAGGUCUUCGGAUUGUAAAGCACUUUAAGUUGGGAGGAAGGGCAGUUACCUAAUACGUGAUUGUUUUGACGUUACCGACAGAAUAAGCACCGGCUAACUCUGUGCCAGCAGCCGCGGUAAUACAGAGGGUGCAAGCGUUAAUCGGAAUUACUGGGCGUAAAGCGCGCGUAGGUGGUUUGUUAAGUUGGAUGUGAAAGCCCCGGGCUCAACCUGGGAACUGCAUCCCAAACUGGCAAGCUAGAGUAUG